GAUGAACGCUGGCGGCGUGCCUAAUACAUGCAAGUCGAGCGAACAGACGAGGAGCUUGCUCCUCUGACGUUAGCGGCGGACGGGUGAGUAACACGUGGAUAACCUACCUAUAAGACUGGGAUAACUUCGGGAAACCGGAGCUAAUACCGGAUAAUAUCUUGAACCGCAUGGUUCAAUAGUGAAAGACGGUUUUGCUGUCACUUAUAGAUGGAUCCGCGCCGCAUUAGCUAGUUGGUAAGGUAACGGCUUACCAAGGCAACGAUGCGUAGCCGACCUGAGAGGGUGAUCGGCCACACUGGAGCUGAGACACGGUCCAGACUCCUACGGGAGGCAGCAGUAGGGAAUCUUCCGCAAUGGGCGAAAGCUUGACGGAGCAACGCCGCGUGAGUGAUGAAGGUCUUCGGAUCGUAAAACUCUGUUAUUAGGGAAGAACAAAUGUGUAAGUAACUAUGCACGUCUUGACGGUACCUAAUCAGAAAGCCACGGCUAACUACGUG
rnacentral:rRNA from 1 species